CAAGUCUUAUCCAUGAUAUCUUAAUGACAAAUAAAAAUGGUAUCACUUUACUUGAGGUCUAAAUAUUUAUUAGUUACACUGUCAUAAUGUUGUCAUGACAGCAAGUCUUAUCCAUGAUAUCUUAAUGACAAAUAAAAAUGAUACCACUUUACUUGAGGUCAAAAUAUUUAUUAGUUAUACUGUCAUAAUGUUGUCAUGACAGCAAGUCUUAUCCAUGAUAUCUUAAUGACAAAUAAAAAUGGUACCACUUUACUUGAGGUCAAAGAAUGUAUUUGUUACACUGUCAUAAUGGUGUCAUGACAGCAAGUCUUAUCCUUCAUGAUAUCUUAAUGACAAAUAAAAAUGAUACCACUUUACUUGAGGUAAAAAUAUUUAUUAGUUACACUGUCAUAAUGUUGUCAUGACAGCAAGUCUUAUCCAUGAUAUCUUAAUGACAAAUAAAAAUGAUACCACUUUACUUGAGGUCAAAGAAUGUAUUUGUUACACUGUCAUAAUGGUGUCAUGACAGCAAGUCUUAUCC